rnacentral:miRNA from 1 species
CGUCUAGGUCUAGAGUCUCAA